rnacentral:lncRNA from 1 species
UGUCAAAUGUGAAAUGAGUGACAUGUCAUCGAUCAUCGAUCGUCCAAGAUAUGAAUUACUGUUUCCAAUUCUUUCUUCAUUACUAAUUGAUUCAUGUUGUUACUGAGAAUUCUAGUGUCCCAAUAAUAGUGCAACUAGAAGAAAAGUGUAGAGCGAUCGUCAGAUACAGAUUGGCAGUGCUUCAGUACUGGCAGUUAGCGAGGGUAUUGAGGCAAAGUGGCUGUUUGGUAUGCCACUAUAUCAUCUCGCAAGUUGGUUUUUUAAGAGUUGUGGAGUAAAAGCUUCAAAUGUAAUCUGUAACUAGUAUCUUUUUUUUUAUCAAACUGGCAAAGUUUUUACCAUCCAUUCUUAACCGGGUCAUUUUCAUGCCGCCACGAAUUGUUCUACGUGAUAUUUCAUUAGGUAAAAUGCUGCUAGUUAGGAAGCCAGGAAUUAUUCAAAAUUAAUUACCAGUGACUUUCUUCUCUUUGCUUCUCUCGCUCAAAAUUAAUAAUUAAGCAGUUCAGUAAAACAUGCCCAUAAAUGAAAGGUUAUCGUCUUAACCGUUUUGCAAAUAAUUACGACUUCCUAUGUAAAUUUAUACGCUAAUGUUACUGUUGUGUAGGAAAGUGCCUACUGCUGUAACUUUUUAUUAAUUAGCAUGUAUGUGGUCGUACUUUAUACUAUUUUACGAUUAAUUCUUCCUAAAAAAGUCAAAAUCAUUAAUAAAUUAUUUUCUUAAUGUAUGCUUAAUGCCUCAUUGCUUAAUGUUUUAUUGUUUGGAUUGAAAUAUUUAGAAAUGUGUUCAAUAAUUAUUAAGUUGCCCAUGCUUUUCCGAUUUAUGUUAUUAAUUAUGUAAUAAUUCUAUGCUGUUUAAAUAAUUAAAUUGAUAAUAAUAUUUUGUAUUUUAGAAUUUCAUAAUUAGUAACCUAAACCUAAAGUUCGACUGCAUGAGCAAUUUAGUAAUUCUUCAACACAAUUCCAAAUGUUCUAAACCAAGCAAUUCAAAAUUUCCAACUCUAAGCAAUUGAUAUUGUUUUUUAGAAUAUGAUAUCUGAAAAGAAAAAUUGUUUCCAAAAUUUCUUUUUGUAUUUUCACUUGGUUUUACAAGUUUCUGCUUUGGAAAUUGAACCACUUUGGAUGCUUAAUUAAUUAAGUACUCAAUAACAUUUAAAUUAUUUCCGUUUUGUAUAAAACUUGAAAACAAAUUUAAGCAAAGCGUAAGCAAACAAGCGUGUACACUUUUUUUGUGGGAAGUGGAGAGCCACCAAAAAUUCUUUGAAACAAUGGACUAUUUGAACAUAAUAGUGAAUAAUCAAGUCAAAAAUGUAACUUUCAGCUCCAAAUAAAUAUCUUUAUAUUCUUAAUAUCUAUUACUUUCGUAUUCCGUAAGUCUUACAGUGUAUCAUCUUAUACAUUGAAUUAAGAGAGAUAUUUUCGUCGAAGAAAAUGUAUUUAUUAAAAUAAAUAAUAGUUAAAAAA